rnacentral:rRNA from 1 species
AAUAUUGGACAAUGGGCGCAAGCCUGAUCCAGCCAUGCCGCGUGAGUGAUGAAGGCCCUCGGGUUGUAAAGCUCUUUCACCGGGGACGAUAAUGACGGUACCCGGACAACAAGCCCCUGCUAGCUUCCUGCCAGCAGCCGCGGUAAUACGAAGGGCGCUCGCGUUGUUCGGAAUUACUGGGCGUAAAGCGCACGUAGGCGGGUUGGUCAGUUAGGGGUGAAAUCCCAGGGCUUAACUCUGGAACUGCCUUUGAUACUGACAGGCUUGAGUAUGGAAGAGGUGAGUGGAACUGCGAGUGUAGAGGUGAAAUUCGUAGAUAUUCGCAAGAACACCAGUGGCGAAGGCGGCUCACUGGUCCAGUACUGACGCUGAGGUGCGAAAGCGUGGGGAGCAAACAG